rnacentral:rRNA from 1 species
AGAGCGAACGCUGGCGGCAGGCCUAACACAUGCAAGUCGAGCGCCGUAGCAAUACGGAGCGGCAGACGGGAGAGUAACACGUGGGAACGUGCCCUUUGGUUCGGAACAACACAGGGAAACUUGUGCUAAUACCGGAUAAGCCCUUACGGGGAAAGAUUUAUCGCCAAAGGAUCGGCCCGCGUCUGAUUAGCUAGUUGGUGAGGUAACGGCUCACCAAGGCGACGAUCAGUAGCUGGUCUGAGAGGAUGAUCAGCCUCACUGGGACUGAGACACGGCCCAGACUCCUACGGGAGGCAGCAGUGGGGAAUAUUGGACAAUGGGCGCAAGGCCUGAUCCAGCCAUGCCGCGUGGAUGAUGAAGGCCCUAGGGUUGUAAAGUCCUUUCGGCGGGGAAGAUAAUGACGGUACCCGCAGAAGAAGCCCGGCUAACUUCGCGCCAGCAGCCGC